rnacentral:lncRNA from 1 species
UGGACAUGAUGGCCAUUUUUUCCUUUUUUUUGGUAAUAAAAGUCCAAAUGAUGGAGGGAAUUCCUUGCUCCUUGAUGUGAAUAAUAGGAGAGUGGCUGAUUUAGUUAGCUUUUUAGUGAUAUUAAGGCACAUUAAUAGGAGCGGCGAUCUUAGUGAUUAGGCCCAAAUUCAAUCAUUUGGAGCUCGAAAGAGACUGGUCAAAUCAAAAGUUUUCUUUUUGGAUAAGACUUUAAGCAGGCAUCUCUUAAUCCAAGUAUAACUAGGUGGAGUGACAAAAGAUAGAGUUGUUAUAAAGUUGAGAUCGACC